GUGAUUGUAGUUCAGUUGGUUAGAGCGUCAGAUUGUGGUUCUGAAUGUCGUGGGUUCGAGUCCCACCAGUCACC
rnacentral:tRNA from 1 species